GGACUACUGGGGUAUCUAAUCCUGUUCGCUCCCCUAGCUUUCGCAUCUGAGCGUCAGAGCAUCGCCAGCAGAUCGCCUUCGCCUCUGGUGUUCUUCCGCAUCUCUACGCAUUUCACUGCUCCACACGGAAUUCCAUCUGCCUCUCGAUGUCUCAAGUUGGAGAGUUUUCCGACGCCUUCUUCGGUUAAGCCGAAGAUUGUCAGCCGGAACUUUUCCAACCGCCUGCAUGCGCUUUACGCCCAGUCAUUCCGGAUAACGCUCGCCCCCUACGUAUUACCGCGGCUGCUGGCAC
rnacentral:rRNA from 1 species